CUUCAAUUUCAUUGGGGGUGGCAGAAUUCCUGUCCGCUGCAGAGACAACCAGAAAGGAGUUGAUGAAAUGAGAUGUGAUGCUGAUGUGGGAAAUCCUUCUCUGGUCCAACCCAGGUGACAUCAGUCCUAAAAUGUUGUGUGGAAGCCAUCACAUGGAAGUAGCAACCACCAUGCUGUUACUAAAAACCAGUCCAUUCGACACAGACCAUCAUCUUCUUCCUCCCACAGGGUCUCCUAAGCCAGGCUUCCUCUUUUAUGGAUCUGCAAUUUUAUGCCUCUUUCUUCAUUAACCAACCCAACAUUUAUAUUCUGGGGAAGAGGGCUGGAGAACUUUGGAGCAUGUGUGUGCACUGCACUCUGACAAAACAUUUAAAAGACACCCCAAGAUCUCCCCAAAAUACAACAUGGAGACUGUGAUUUUUCCAGGCAUUGGAGGAAGAAAAGAAGGGAAGGUGUUCUUAAGCAACCCUGUGGUAGCAGGUUGGGAAGGAUGGGACUACUUCAGUUGGAACAACUCAGAGCUGGAUGUUGAGCACCUCAUUACACUAUCGCAACUAAGCUGUGCACAAAUGGCCUCUUGAGAGUCUCCAUCCUAUCUGCGGACAUAGAAGAUGGGGGAGGAUAAUCUCACUGAAUUUCUGCAGACAGAGAGAGGGGAGAUUCUUUAACAAUUUCUUGGUUGG